rnacentral:tRNA from 46 species
GGGUGGUUAGCUCAGCUGGGAGAGCAUCGCCCUUACAAGGCGAGGGUCACAGGUUCGAUCCCUGUACCACCCACCA